UGAGUUUCUUCCUGCUGACUGUCUGGAGUUUCCCUAUGAGCUGGUGUGAGGCACUGCUUCCUGUGGCUCAGAGCAAGACUCCAUGAGGCCCGAUGCACGUUGGGAACUGCACCCUCUAUUCUGUAAGGCACCGAGACAGGCCUAUGGAACCGUGUGCGGACUUGGGACUUGAGACCCUGCCUGAACAAAAAUUUCCAGGUUUUCAAAAAGAAAAACGAAUGAAUGGAAACCAUCCUGGUGAGCUUGAUGUUGAGACCAAGUAAUGUUCUUUGGUUGAACCCAAGAAAAGAGGGGAUCCCAAGUAACCGCGAGCCGGCGGAGAACACAGAGUGCGUUUGCCACCUAGCACUUCAGUAGCUCAUUUGUUCCUUCCACGCGUUUGGGGGUCUGUGACAGACUCUUCACCAUGGGCUAAGAGGCAUCUCUUAUUCAUGGGAGCCAGGGGACAACGAAGACAAGUUUGCCAUUAACUGAAGAUUAGACUGUUAAGAAUUGGCUCUCACUGUAUAAAAUAGCUACUUUCUCUGCCGCUGUUCUAUAAUAAGAAGUGGAUGGCUUCUGGUCUCAAACCAAAUGUUUUUAUCCCAAACAAUGGCUGAAAGAGGUGACCAGGAAGACCGGAGACUUUAUGACCAAGGUAGAACAGAGACUAUUAGUGCUAGCAAUGCAAGGGCUUCUGAAACAAUUCCAGUGAGUAGACUCAGAAUGCAAAAUCUGAAGUGAAUAUGCACGGGGUCUGGAAAAUAAGAAGACUAAGAAGGAAGGCAAUGUGAAGAGAGGGCCACGUUCCAAGUGUUGCCCUGAAGGAAGAUCAGAAAUCAAUACACAUUAUUCUCCAAGCCUAGGCACUCUGGAGCUCUGCAGAAUGACCUUCAUGUUGUCUGUCAACUGGAAAAAAAAACUACUCUGCAAAACUGCUGGGGACUUUAAUCUUGAGAUAAUUUUUUUUUUAAACUGACAAAAGGAGGUUGAUUCCUUCCCUAUCACUAUACAACUGAUAAAAAGGAAACCCACAGUGAAUUUUACGGUUGAAGGAGGUCUCUUAUGCUUCAAACCAAGCUUAACAACAGUUUUUAUAAAAUUACCAUAUUACUUAUAUUUCACUCUUAAUAUUAUCUUCUUAAAAAUUUUUUUGAGUUUAUUUUUGAGAGAGAGAGAGACAGAUUGACAGACAGAGCAUGAGUGGGGGAGGGGCAGAGGGAGAGAAGGAUACAGAAUCUGAAGCAGGCUCCAGGCUCUGGGCUGUCAGCACAGAGCCCGAUGUGGGGCUUGAACCCACAGGCUGUGAGGUCGUGACCUGAGCCUCUUAGCCAAAUGAGCCACCCAGGCGCCCCCCCCCCAAAUUUUUUUAAUGUUUAUUUAUUUUUGAGAGAGAAAGAGACAGAGACAGAGAGAAACAGAGCACAAGUGGGGAAAAGAGAGAGGGUGACACAGAAUCUGAAGCAAGCUUCAGGCUCUGAGCUGUCAGUACAGAGCCCGACAUGGGGCUUGAACUAACAGACCACAAGAUCAUGACCUGAGCCAAAGUCAGACCCUCAACUGACUGAGCCACCCAAGUGCCUCUUAAUGUUACUCUAAAAUGCAGGUAGAGAAGGAAGCCAGGGCUUACAUGAGAGUCUAUCUUGUUUUAGUCUUGACAACCCUUCUUAAUCUUUGAGAAACUCAAUCCUACCUUCCACCUUAAAUUUAAACGAGUUUAAUAGAAGCUUUUUGGAGGGCAAUUUGGUUUAGCUGGCAGAAUUUUAAAUAUGCAUGUUAUCUGACCCUGUAAUUUCACUUCUGGAAUUCACCAUACAGAAAUACUUGGACAAAUGUUCCACAAAAUAAGCACAAGGAUUUUACUGCAAAAUUGUUUGCAAGAAGACUAAAAACAACCCCUAAAUGUCCAUGAAUGGGAAACUAAAUUGUGAAAUAAAUGAACUGACAGUUAUUCAGCAGUUUGAAAAUGAGCUAGAUAUCUAUGAACUGACAUAACCCAUUAUAAUAAAAUAGUGAAUAAA